AUUAGGUAGUUGACUGCUCGUUGGUGCAUCUCCCUUGCUUCCAACUGACAUUGUCCUACCUUCUCUUCUCCAUUACUUGUGUAAGCAGAGUCAGAAUGAGCUCUACCGUGACAGCUGGCGAGAAUCCACACCAAACCCCGGGAGGCAGAACAGCUGCUUUGCAAUUACAACAGAUCCCCACUAUCCAUUUUGUGUUGAUAUAAGAAACAAGGAGAUGCAAAGGUGUGCAGACAGCCCAGUCUGAAACUAGAACUCCGUCUCUUGUUCCCUGAGGAAGAAGCCAGCUCUGGAAGCAGCAAGAAGAUGGUUAUCUAUGUAUCACGCUCUACAUCCUCCGGAUGGUCAGAAGUGGAAUUAAAUGAGCUUUGCAAGUAGUUUGGUUCUGGCUGCUUGGUGUCAUCGCAGAUACUUAAUGAAAGCAUUGAGUCCUGAAGUGAGGAGGAGGGGAAAGUCUAGAUUGGCUGGACUCAUUGCAGUGAGCCACUGCAAGAAACAGGGAUUGCUGGAACCUGAAGGCCCCGUUUUGGAGUUGUGGAGGCCAUGGGCCUGCCUCUGUGGAACAGUGAGGAUUCUUGGGGUCCAGCACACUAGAAGGGUACUCCCAAGACACUGGUUAAAGGCUGGGACAUAGACCAGACCCUGUGCAUCUGUGACACAAACAUUUUUUUGGGUAACUCUGUCAUCUCAAUGAAAAAUGUGAAUGAUUUUUAAAUGACCUAAUUAAACUUUUAUAUAUUCAAAGGGCUUACAUUUUAUUUCGCCUGCCGCUUCUCCCAUGUGUGUAAGGCUGCCUACCAAUUCCUCCAAAACAUUUCUAAAGCAUCUUUAGCUGUCUUUUCUCCAAUUACUCUACAUUCUCUCUAAGGUUUCACUCUGAUUUUUUUUAUUUGUUUUGUUAAAUACAUAGUUGCAGCAUUGUGAAUCCCAAUCAUUCAAAAAUCAUGAAUAAUGCAUCCAGAAUCAUAAGAUUGGCUUAAUCAUGAGAUUUUAAUUUUGUUUUCUGAUUUUUGAGCAUGGAGUGUUCAUGUUCUCAAACUCUUUUCAAAUGUGAGCUAAAUGACAGUUGAGAUCCUCCAUAAUCACAUGACUCUAGGAGCUGGAGCUUUAAGACCAAAUAUGAGUCUUGUGAUAAAGUCAUAAGAGUUAGCAACACUGUAGUUUCUCAUCUCCUCCUUCAUAUAUGGAAAUAUAAAUAUAUCAUUUCCAUCCUCAGAAAUCUUCAGUAGCUUUUUGCCCAUUUCAGAAUUUAGUACAAAAUGAUCCCGCUAAAUAUUCUAGGUUCUCUGUGUAUUUACUGUCCCUUUCACUGUGUCCUCAUCUUUGUUAAACAUAUAAAUCUUGACUCUAAUGGCAUUCUGUCCAGGCCCAGGGGCACUGAUUAGAGUAACUUGUAGGAUUGUGGCCAAAAUCAUUUAUUAUGAUUUCUGAACCUUAUGUCCCAAUCUCUGAAACUCUGGGUAAUAUUAUUCUUUAGCAUAUAUAUUUAGAGUAUAAUAACUAAAGGCAUUAAUUUAAAGUUUUAACACAUAAAUGGUAC